rnacentral:rRNA from 1 species
GACGAACGCUGGCGGCGUGCUUAACACAUGCAAGUCGAACGGAAAGGCCCUGCUUUUGUGGGGUGCUCGAGUGGCGAACGGGUGAGUAACACGUGAGUAACCUGCCCUUGACUUUGGGAUAACUUCAGGAAACUGGGGCUAAUACCGGAUAAGAGCUCCUGCUGCAUGGUGGGGGUUGGAAAGUUUCGGCGGUUGGGGAUGGACUCGCGGCUUAUGAGCUUGUUGGUGGGGUAGGGGCUUACCAAGGCUUUGACGGGUAGCCGGCCUGAGAGGGUGACCGGCCACAGUGGGACUGAGGUGCGGGCCAGACUGCUACGGGAGGCAGCAGUGGGGAAUAGUGCACAAUGGGCGGAAGCCUGAUGCAGCAACGCCGCGUGCGGGAUGACGGCCUUCGGGUUGUAAACCGCUUUCGCCUGUGACGAAGCGUGAGUGACGGUAAUGGGUAAAGAAGCACCGGCUAACUACGUG